GUCGAGAAUAAUUCACAAUGGACGAAAGUCUGGUGGUGCAACGCCGCGUGGAGGAUGACGGUCUUCGGAUUGUAAACUCCUGUCAUCCGGGAGUAAGACCUGGCUGUGAAUAGCAGACAGGGUUGAUAGUACCGGAAGAGGAAGGGACGGCUAACUUCGUGCCAGCAGCCGCGGUAAUACGAAGGUCCCGAGCGUUGUUCGGAAUCACUGGGCGUAAAGGGAGCGUAGGCGGCGUGGUAAGUCAGAUGUGAAAUCCCGGGGCUCAACCCCGGAACUGCAUCCGAUACUGCCGUGCUAGAGGAUUGGAGAGGUAGCUGGAAUUCUUGGUGUAGCAGUGAAAUGCGUGGAUAUCGAGAGGAACACUCGUGGCGAAGGCGAGUUACUGGACAGCAUCUGACGCUGAGGCACGAAGGCCAGGGGAGCGAAAGGGAUUAGAUACCCCGGUAGUCC
rnacentral:rRNA from 1 species